rnacentral:lncRNA from 1 species
AAGAAUUAAAACUGAUGGUGAUUGGAUGAGAGGAGGGUUUUUUGUUUACGGAGAAAUCAAUUAUUUACAAACAGUAACACAUGAGGGUGACACAGAGAAUCCCCAUUGAAUUCAAUGCACAUGCAUCACCACCAUGAAAGCAAAAUCAACCCUCUAGUCUGCUAUAUAACCUACAAACAUGAUAUUAUAAUAAUAUAAAAUAUCUACAUUCUUCCACAUCACAAACCCAGACCAGACUUCCUUACCAACAUAACCAUACGAGGCACAUUGUAUAUUUACCUUCCUUCCCACUUAAGACUCAAGGACGUACAUACUAUAAACAUCAUAGAUCAU